rnacentral:lncRNA from 1 species
GAAAAAAAAUCUUCUUAGCAUAAAGUUUUCACACAAAGGCAAGUGUUAGAUAUCUAAUAUAAUUGUCGUAGGGGGACCUAAGAUACAGCAUUUAAUGUGGGAGGUUCAGGGACUAUUAAUAUGCAUGAGACUUGUAAGCAGCGGCUUAGGGAGGAGGAGGCUUGCUCACAAUAUCAUCAUCUUUAUUCUCCCCUCUAUACUGAUGCUACAACAUCGGUUCAGUAUAGUCAACAAAAAGACAUGGAGGACAGUAGAAACACUAUGAUCAGAUACCUGAACAGAAUCAUUCUACUGAUUAUCUGGCUCUCCUGUGGUUCACUUGGCAUUGAAGUCCAUCAGGAUCCAUCAUCAAUAAUAGGAAAACCUCAUAAUUCUGCAACAAUCAGCUGCCGUCAUUCAGACAGUUCAUACUAUGUAAUACUGUGGUACCAACAGCCAGUUGGUGACUCUGCUCUUAAACUCAUUGGAUAUAUUCAGUACACUAACCCAACCCCAGAGGAUCAAUUUAAACAGCAUUUCAAUGUGACUGGAGACGGCUCAUCAGAAUCUCAACUUCAUGUGCUGAAGCUCAGACAGCCACAAGAUAGUGGCAUGUAUUAUUGUGCAGCUAGUAGGCACAGUGACUCACUUAGCAAUUCACCUCUACAAAAACCUUCUGAUAUUCCACCACAUAAAUUUACAAUGAAGACUACACCUGCAUCCAGCUAUCACCCAUCCAUGUGACAGGAAAUUACCACACAUUAAAACAUUCUCUUGUUGGUACAAAUCCACUGACGUGACUUUAAUAACUCCUCCUCUUCCUCCUCCACAUACAGACAGCUCUGCUCCUGUUGCAGUUUUCAUUCGUCUUUACCAGUGUUAGGAUCAUGAUUAGACUCUUCAUACUAUUAGCAGUUCUACCGUGCUGUUUAACAGGUAAUGUUACAGUAAUUCAUAAGAAAUGCGUUUUCAGCCAUUUUUCAUUCUCACACUAAAGUUUUUUUUACUUUUUCCCCACAGAACUCUCAAAAAACAGUGUUCAUCAGACGCCCACUGCCAUAAUAAAACAUCUUGGAGAAGAAGUGAAGAUAAACUGCAACCAUUCCAACACUAAUUUUCAAAUGAUCCAAUGGUACAAACAGUCUGCUGGGGGAAAUGAUAUGAUUCUACUUGGUUAUGCUCGAUUCUCUGAUCCAACUGUUGAAGAUUCAUUUAAAGACAAUUACAAUGUGAGCGGAGAUGGGAGAAGCCGAUCAUCUCUUCAUAUUCUGAAACUGAGUAGAUCUGAGCUCAGAGCAGUUUAUUUCUGUGCUGCUAGUGAAGCACAGUGCUACAUCAAGCCUCUGACUCCAACAAAAACCUUCUCAGACAAAGACAGUAGCACUAUCAUUCACCUGCUGAU